GAGCUGUGAAGAACAACUUAAUGUGUUGGUUGGGUCCAUCACCGUUCAUCUCAUCUAGAUGACAGCAAUUCAAUCUGAGCUC